rnacentral:rRNA from 1 species
AACGAACGCUGGCGGCAGGCCUAACACAUGCAAGUCGAGCGAGGACUUCGGUUCUAGCGGCGGACGGGUGAGUAACGCGUGGGAAUGUGCCCUUCUCUACGGAAUAGCCCUGGGAAACUGGGAGUAAUACCGUAUACGCCCUAUUGGGGAAAGAUUUAUCGGAGAAGGAUCAGCCCGCGUUGGAUUUGGUAGUUGGUGGGGUAAUGGCCUACCAAGCCGACGAUCCAUAGCUGGUUUGAGAGGAUGAUCAGCCACACUGGGACUGAGACACGGCCCAGACUCCUACGGGAGGCAGCAGUGGGGAAUCUUAGACAAUGGGGGCAACCCUGAUCUAGCCAUGCCGCGUGAGUGAUGAAGGCCUUAGGGUUGUAAAGCUCUUUCAGCUGGGAAGAUAAUGACGGUACCAGCAGAAGAAGCCCCGGCUAACUCCGUG